UCAUCAUCAUUCUUGAUCAUUUGCAGCCGCUCCAAUCAGUUCAUCCUCACAGCUUCUCUGUUGUGCUGCUGUAUUUUUAGGAAGCUGUUCUCAGAUAGUUAUUUCCAAGAUUUCCAUAGAGAACAAACCUUAAAAGAAAAACAAGGAAACAAACUCAAAUAUGCAGAAGUUUCUUUGAGGAAGUCGCAUCUUACUCAUAGCAGAAAAUAAACAUGCAUCUAGAAGCAGAGUGUUAGUUCAGAGAGUGGAACUGACCGAGACAGAUGAGAGGAGAACGAUGGCUGAGCUGCAGUGGAUUAAAACGCUUUUAUUUCUGAUCCUGAUGCUUCAGUUUCCAGCAAAAGCAUCUGGAAAAUAUGUGUAUAUCACUGUCAGGGACGGAGAUGACGUCACUUUGCCUUGUGGAAAUGUGAGAGAUGAUCAGGAUAAAUGCUCAAACACUGACUGGCUCUUUGAUAGACCACAAUACACAAGAGCAGUGGUGCUGGUCAGACACGGACACGUUGACAACCGUGAGAUUUCGAGAAGUAAAUCAGACAGACUGAGUGUUACAGAGAACUGUUCUGUGGUCGUAGAGAAGGUCACGGUGGAGGAUGCUGGUCGUUACAGCUGUAGACUGUACAACACAUCAGGUCACGAGCAAGGUGAAGACGCCGUGGUUCGUCUGUUCGUUGUUAUCAUGACUAAUCAUCAUGGAGACGUGGACACAGUAAACUGUUCUGUGUCAGCAUUUAAUGAGUGCAGACACACGGUGAAGUGGUUCUAUGAGGGUAAAGCUGUGAGUGAUGUCAAACACAUGAGGUCGUGGCAGUCGGACUGCUCAGCCAGCGUGUCCUUCAUGAAUUCUUCCCUGGAGUGUGAAGUGACGCAUGUAACCAGCGGGGAGGGGAAGCGGUUUCCCUUCAAACCUCAGUCUGCAGAUUACAGAGCAUCAGCGACGACAUCACCAGCUAAUGUGAGGAUAAACUCUCUGAGAACGUUAAACUCAACAGGACAAGCUCAAACUGAUUGUUCUGCUCUGAACUUCAUCAUAUUGAUGAUGCAUGUGGUUGAAAUCCUCCUCCUGACUGUGAUUGUUGUUCUUCUCAUCAGAGCUCAAUGUAAGAAUAUUAAGACACAAACUGUAGGUUCAGAAGUGAAAUGUUAUUCACCAGAUGACAAAAACUGUGAGUGGGAAAUUAAAACUGAGCUGUUUGAUCAGUGAUUACUGGUAAAUGCUCACAAAUACCUCCUGGAUUGUGUUUGUUCAGGUUGUGUAUUCUGAAAAAGGCCGAACAGUGAAGUGUUCACAUGCAGAAGUUCGUCAGGUAAAGAUGAGUUUAGACAAUAAUCAUCUGAAUACGCUGCUGAUAUCAGAUAAUUACCUGUGAUCUUCUGAUAACAAAUUUCUUUGUGUUGUUUUUCACAGGUGCAUAAUGAAGAACCAUGAAACUUUGAAACAUCUGCAGAAACUCACCUGAGAAUAAAUAAAAAUGUCUUCAACCUUCAACAUAAAAGACAAGUACUGUAAAAUAACCUUUAAACUUAGAUUUAUCAUUAAUGAGCAAAGAAAAGGUUCUUUCAAAAAACAGGAUCUGCACUGAUUACAAACAGGAAAUGGGCUGUAGCUCUCUAAAAUAUUCACUAUUUCAGAAACUCAAAAGGAAGCAGGCUGGUUGAAUUUUGAAUUUUUAUACAACUAAGGUCAAAUCAUGCAAAUAAAACUGUAAGAUGUAGCUUUAAAGGAGCAGUGUGUUAAAUUUACAGAGUAAACCUGUAAACGGGGUGUUCCUAAAAGAGUAGUUUCUUUUUACAGAGUCUGUCAUGUUGCACCACCACGUUUCUACAGGAGCCCAGAACAGACAAACGAAUGUCUCUGUGACGCUGUUGCACCAUCUGAAAACUGAUGAUCAGGCAGCUAAAUUCAAUUUUAUUUGUAGAGCGCUGUGAAUGUGUAUGAAUCAUAAUAAUCAGAUUGUCCCUGAUGAGGAAGCCGAGGGCGACGGUGGCAAGAAAAAACUCCCUGAGAAGGCGACAGGAAGAAACCUUGAGAGGAACCAGACUCGACAGGGAACCCAUCCUCAUAUGAGUGAUUACAUGCUGUGUAGGCAGCAGGCAGUCCAGUAUAACAGUAAACUAAAGUCGUCGUCUUCUUUUUGCCACAUGCCACAACUGGUCCUGCAGCCGACCACAGUGGGCACGUGUUGGUUUUCUUGAUCCAGGAUCUUAAAUUCAGAUGCGUUAAAAAGUUUUUAUCUCUGAUCCUGAUGCUUCAGUUUACAGAUGAACAAACAUUUAACAGCUAAAUAACACCGUUAAUAAUUAGAGCUGUAUUGAAUUUUCCAGAAUCAUUUAUCAAGAGAAGAAGAAAAAGGCUGAUGGCUGAACGCUGCAGACACACAGUGAAUGUUUUAGGAGUGAAGAUUUGGAUAUAUGCAUGUUGAGAGCCAGGUUUCACUCUGUCCUGUGUUUUAAAGCACAGACUCUCUUAUGGACUCCACAUGUACUGUACAGUCUGCUAGUUAUUGAUUUAGAGGGUUUAUUGAAUGAGAAGUUAUUGUUUUCUUUUUAAUAGUUUGUAUUGAAGCACUAGUUGUUCUGUGUGGCACCAGGUGAUGGAUGUACUGAAUGAGUGGAUUACAUACUGUACCAACAGGACCUACAGAAGCUGAAGUGAAAAUCUGUUGCUGUGUUGUGCAACACAAAUGAAUGUUUAUGUACUGUACUCGGUCAAAAGCUCAAACUAAAAAAAUCAAACAAAUCUAAUUUUUUGUUUUUCAAAAUCAAUAUUAUGUAGUUUCAGAGUAAAUGUGUGUCCUUGACUGUUUAAUGGUGGUUCUAACAUCCUCAUCAGCAAACCAAACAAAUACAUCUCACAUCAUUGCAGUUUGUUUUUUACGUCAUCUGUAUUUAUACUGUUCUGGAUUCAGUCCAAAUGUUUGAUGGUUUGUUCUGAUACCAUUUAUUACACUUAUUAAAUGCAUUUAGACACAGUAUGUAUAAACAGUACAUACAAGUUUAAUUAAGUCUGUGUCACUUGUAUAAUAUAUGAAAGAGUAAAAUUAGUGUUCUGUUUUAAUUAGACAAUGAGCUCCACCACACGUCACAGAAAUACACCACAGAGGGUACACUGUGCAUCUGCUGAGCCUUAGUAUUUGCUUUAAACAGCAUUGUGCUGUGAUUAAGGUCUUAUCAGUAUUGAUGCUGAUGAAGCUGAUAUGAGCCACCUCAUUAAAGUUAACAUCGACAAACAGGAGAAAGGAUAAAAAAUGCAGAAGUUACAGGAGGAAGUUAAGUCUCAGUGAUCACAGGAAGUGGAUAGACAGUACAUCAUGAUCACAAUGUUAGAAGCAGCAGCUCGGAGACUCUGGAAGAACAAGAGAGAAGAAUGAAAACGUUCUUCAAGCUUUAAUCGUGUGUGUUGUUCAUGUUUGUCUCUUAUUAUUUUAUUAGGAGUCGUCACUGGACAAAUCUCCUACAUCACAGUCAGAGAAGGAGACGACGUCGCUUUGCCUUGUGGGAACGUGAAGGAGGAUCAGGAUGAAUGUUACAGCACUGACUGGUUCUUUGAUGAUUCAGGAAUUUCUAAAUUAGCCUAAAUCAAAUCUAAAUCAGACAGACUGAGUGUCACAGAGAAGUGUUAUCUGUUUAUAAAGAAGGUGACAGAGGAGGACGCUGGUCGGUACGGCUGCAGACAGUUCAUAUCAGGACAAAAACAUGAAGGUGCUCUCCUCGUUCUCUCUGUUGUUACCAGUGAGUAUUUAAAACCACAAUGUUAAUGUUGUUAAUGGACUCUAAACUUACCAUCUCAGUUACAAUUCUUCAAUCUUCAUCUUCACAGUGACUGAACAUAAGGACAGUGACAUGGUGACAUUAAACUGCUCUGUGUGGACGUUUGGACCCUGCAGAUUCUCAGUGAAGUGGCUCUAUGAGGUUAAAGAGACGAAGCAGAAUAACUUACAAGAGACUAGCUGCUACACCACUGUGUCUAUUCUGGAAUCACAUGUUAAGUCAAUAUACGACCGACUGAAGUGCUCAGUGACUGAUCCAAACACUGGGACGGUGCAGGAGUUCUUCUUCAGACAUCAGGCAUCAGGUGAAAAAACCUCUGAAGGGAUUUGAUUUAUUCUUUGUCCUUCAGUGGCAGCAGAUGAAUGAAUGAACAUACUGUGCUUUGUUUUCUGAUGAUUUACCAUCAUUUACAGCAGGGAACAGUUUGGUACAAUAGGUGGAUCUUCAGAGAGCAUGUGCACAAUAAAUGUUCUCUAAUGUUUUUCCAGGUUGGCUGAGGAUCGUUAUCGUCUCUGUGGGUUUAGCAACGCUCAUAAUUAUUGUUGUUACAGUCAAUGUAUGGACGAGAACUAAAGGUGAGAACAAUCAGUGAUGAACAGUUAAUAAAGAAACGUCUUAAUACUAACAACAAUUAUUGUUAUUGUUGUCGUCCUCGUCUCCUUUUUCUUUAAGGGAAUAAAACACAGAUGGAUAAAAACAGUGAGUAUAAAACUGUAUUUAUCUGUUUACACUGUGUAUUUAUGACAGCGGUUGUGAUAUUAUGUAAGAUCCUCUUGUGUUUGUGUGUUGUUGUUUUUUACAGCUUCAUAAUGAUGAAGAUGAAGAUACAGUGAACAUGUUGGAGACCCCUCUGCUUCUGUCAGACUCCACUGAUCAACAACUUCUACAUCAACUCACCACAGAAACGAGUCACUGCUGCUGAUUUAUCAGGAUCAGUUCAUCUAAUUGUAUACAAGUCACUUAAGUAUAAAAUAAUUUGAAGUAUAAAGGAACAAUUUCAGUGGAUUUGAUUCUUUAUUUAAGUGCUGUUAAUAUAUUUGCUGUAGUGUCAUAUUGUGUGAAAUCUAAACAUCCAUGGUCAAAACCCAUCGUGUCAUUAGCUGUUUCACUUAUGAACUCCAGUUAAAGGGUGGAGUUUCUCUUUUUCACACGUGCUAAAGUUGUGUGGAAAUCGUUUGGUCUCGGAGAGGUGUGGUCCCUGGGUAGAGUGUGCAGGAAACAGGAUGUGACACAAAAACUACACUGUUGAAAUCACACAGUCACAGCACAGCGAAGCAGAGCCAGUCGCACGACUAGAAACUCUGCAGAAAGAAUGGUGAAUAGGAGCUGGUAGGACAAUGUCUAUUAAAUGUCAAACACGGCUCCUCUGGGUGAUGUCUGGAGAAGUUCAGGGUUCCAAUGUUUGAAACGAGCAUAUAAAGAACCCUUUCACACAAGCACAGAGUUUGAUCUUCUCCAUUGGUCUGAAGACUCUUUUGAAGUGAAGAUCUUUGCGUCACUCUGAGUCUGUGUCACAGGAAACAUAGACAACAUCUGAUAAGUUAUGGAAUAAAACUAAUAAAAAUUACAUCUUUAAUAGCUUUAAGAAUUUGUCCUGUGAAAACACAUUGCUUCACCACAUAUCAAUGAACUAUUCAAGACAAUAAAACAGCACCUUACAUGCACUGUAUUUAAAUAUAAAUA
ensembl:lncRNA